UACGGAGGGGGCUAGCGUUGUUCGGAAUUACUGGGCGUAAAGCGCGCGUAGGCGGACCUGCAAGUCGGGGGGUGAAAGCCCGAGGCUCAACCUUGGAACUGCCUUCGAUACUGCGGGUCUCGAGUCCGGGAGAGGUGAGUGGAAUUCCUAGUGUAGAGGUGAAAUUCGUAGAUAUUAGGAAGAACACCAGUGGCGAAGGCGGCUCACUGGCCCGAUACUGACGCUGAGGCGCGAAAGCGUGGGGAGCAAACAGG
rnacentral:rRNA from 1 species